rnacentral:rRNA from 1 species
AUGGUCUCAUGCAACGGUGGUCUUCACCAAAUGCGAGCUGCUAUAUGUGACAUGGUUGUAAUAGCUAGAUAUUUAAAUGUCACUUUGGUUGUGCCAGAGUUGGAUAAGACGUCUUUUUGGAACAACCCGAGUGAGUUCCAAGAUAUAUUUGACGUCGAACAUUUUAUAACCUCCUUGCGAGACGAAGUUCGCAUCUUAAGAGAGAACUGCCUCCAAGGGCAAAGCGAAGAGUUGAACUUGGCAUGUUCCACUCAAUGCCACCUAUCAGUUGGUCUGAUAUCUCCUAUUACCAUAGUCAGAUUCUUCCAUUGA